UAGAGCGAAUUCAGAUUAUAUAUUUUUUCACGCACGGGAAGGGGUGAAAUUCAACCACCAAGUAAAAGGAACCAAUGGCACAAGUCCAACUUUGAAGUGGAGGAUUUUUGGGAAUAAAGUCGACCUUUCUCCCUUCGGGAGCCUCAAGCAUCUCAAACACCGGUGAUACAGCGGCGAGGACCACAUAAUGAAUACCACCUAGACUGCAACGACCAACAACAUCCGUAGGCCUGGUGGAAUUCAACAUCAAGGAGUUACAAUCGAACAUAUACCACCAGCCACAUAAGUAUAAUCCAGAAUUCUUAGCUAAAGUCAAGAAUAUGAAUAUAUAUGUCAUUGAAUUUAAUGUCAUAUUUUAUUAUAUCUUCAUUGAAAAAUAAACAUGAUUAGUUAAAA
rnacentral:lncRNA from 1 species